rnacentral:tRNA from 3 species
GGAGAGGUGGCUGAGCGGUCGAAAGCGGCACCCUGCUAAGGUGUUACUCUGGUUAACAGGGUCGAGGGUUCGAAUCCCUCCCUCUCCGCCA